ensembl:lncRNA
AGACACCGGGACUGUGGCCAUCAGGCCAGGGCCAGGGACUCCCGUCUGCACCCGGCCUCUAGGGCCCUCACUCCCACAGCGCCCCCCAGCGGCACAGGGCCUCCUGGACGGAACUGAAAGUCUGAAAGUCCUGCCGGGCGACGCUCUGUUUGCACGUUUCGUCCACGUCUGCAGUGCAUCGUGACUGCGCUCCUCCCGUGGCGAAGGGACUGUCAAACUCCGCAAGGGCAGCCAUUGGUGUAAUCAGCAAAAAGCCAUCCUGCAGCUGGAAAAAAAUUACAUCUUUGAAUAAGAAGGACAAUGAAGGGGGUGAGGAAAUUCCAAGAUCAUCUCUUGGUAGAAAAGAGGAACACGUAGCCCUCCCUACCUGGACUUCUGCCUGGACCUCUGCUCCUGCCUUGGAGCCAGAUGCUUAUAGACUAAAAUCUGCAGAAACUGUGAGCUAAAUAAACUUUUCCUCCCUUAACUUGUGAAUAUUGGGUAUUUUGUCUCAACAAGAAAAGUAACUAAUACAGAAUUUGGUACCAGGAGUGAGGUUGUUGCUGUGACUAUACCUGACCAUAUGGUUCAGGAGUUUGACAAGAGUUUGUAAAGGUUCAGCGAUACUGGCUAAAAAGGUAGAGCUGGAACACCUUAGGUUAUACUUGAUGGAAGAUUCUGGUCAGAGCUCAAAAGACCAAAAGGCUGAUAGAAAUCCUUCUAGUAAGGAAGGAUAGGAAUCCUUCCAGUAAAGACCAGGAUUGAGAUAUUUCUGCUGGAAAGAAACACCUCAUUAGCUGUUAGAUUCCAGACAAUAUGUGUUACACUUUCAUAGAAAGUUUGUCUACAUUUUGCUCAUGUCCAGAGACUUUGCCUAAGACUAAGAUUAAGGGUGGCAGACUAAUGAAUCUUCCAGAAAAAAUUUUGAGGAAGUCUAAUGUUGAGUCCAUGACAUAGCUUCUGUUGGGGGCUUCUAGCCAGAUCUAUGUUGAGAAUCAAGACCAAAGGGGCCAACAGAAUGACUUAAAACAUUGUAAGUUUGGCCAAAAAAAAUAAAAAUCAAUGGUCUGUGGACUGCAAAGAUAGAGCAGAAGAGAUCUUACUUGCAGCAGCAAAAAAAAAAAAAAAAAAAACAAAAACCCAAAAAACAAAAGAAUUAAAAAGAUGGUCUAAGGACAUCACAUGAAACAGCAGGACUCCAGCCUUUACAGUCUUAAAAUUGCAAAAGUAAAAGACUUUGCUUUAAAAAGAGAGCCCAGACCAUGUUCCAGAAUGGCAGUGGCCUAGGAAAGCUUUAUUUUCAGGAUUUGGUUCAGAGGCACUGGACCCCUACAGCCAAGAGAGAAGGAAGCCCGGCUACUGCUCCAGCUGGUGGCAGACCUUGGCAUCAUCCACGUGGUGCUGGUUUUAGGCACAUGCAGAUUGUGGGAGUUGUGGUGUCAGGAAGGCUUCCACCCAGAUUUCAGAAGAAGGCCUGGGAGGCAAGGCUGUGUGCCCCUGAGAGGGCAAGGGAAACAAUGCAAAAGAGAUCCCAAAAGUUGAGAGAAGCCAAGAACAUGGAUUGUCUGAGGAAAACUAUAGAGAGAGCAGAGCUGGCCCCAGAGAGAAGCCAUAUCAGCUACAGCAAGUGGCAGUGCUGUACAGACAGAGCCACCCAAGCCCUUUGGAGUUCACAACUUGCAAAUUGCAGAGCAUGCUGAAAGUGAAACUGUGAGAUUUGAUGUUUGCCCUGCGAGAUUUGGGUCUUGCUUUGUUAUCAUUCCUUGCUGUCCUUCUGUUUGUAACUUUAAAAAUAGAAGUGUCUAUCUUGUGCCAUCAAAUGUUAAAAGUGUUUAACUUUCUUUUCAUUUGUACAGGGGCUUGCAGCUAAGAGUUUGCCUUAAAUCUCAGAGGAGACUUGGGUCUUGGACUUUUCAGCAGUGCUGAAACUGUCAGGAUUUUGUCACCUCUUAGAGACGGACUCCAUGCCUUUUGCAUAAAGAGAUGUGCAUGAGUCUAGGGGGAGGGGCCAGGGGAUGAAUGCUUUGGCUUCUGUCUAGAUGUCCGCC